GUCUACAGCCAUGCUACCCUGAACGUGCCUGAUCUCAUCUGAUCUCGGAAGCUGAGCAGGGUCGGGCCUGGUUAGUACUUGAAUGGGAGACCACUUAGGAAUACCAGGUGCUAUAGGCA
rnacentral:rRNA from 1 species